UUAUAUAUAUAAAAUAUAAGUAACGUGUGGGUUUUUCCCACUAAAACAUUAUUUUGCGCAUGUCACUAAGGGGGUCUCCCUAAUUACCCAAUCGCAACUACUCGGCCCUUUCCGUCAGUCUUCGGAUAAGGACAAUGUAGAUAAUGGCCGAGACAGUUCCGAAUGCCUAAUUACCGACAAGAACCGUCAGGAACCGACAAGAACCGACAAGAGCCUAUAUAUUACAAACAAACAAAAUCAAUCGUUGAUUGGUUGUUUAGAAGGGUAUUUCCCGGUUCCAAUUAUUUUUACACAGCGUGACACUCGGUAGUAACUACUAAUUCUAAGGCUGUAGUUAUCGACACAUGGACGCAAUUAUCGACAGAUGUAUUGAUGUAAGCAGAGAUAGUAAAGACUGUGAUGGAUAAUGAGUUUAUUAAAGGCAGAAGACUUGUCUGAGACAGUUGAAGUAUAUGUAGUUGCUACUAUAAGCUCAGAGUCAGAUGGACCCACUUGCCUUUAGGAGAUAUUAAGGGGAAAAGGCCUGAUCACUUAAGAACUUAGUCAAAAUCUCUUUCUUGGAUAGUGAAUAACCUGAAAUAUAAAAUAAAGAUUCAUAGUCAUGGCAAAUGAGUUUAAAUAGAUGAAGAACCUAUUAAUAUAUAUAAGGACAUUUGUUUUGAAAUAUUUAGUAAAGAAGUUAUCAAAAUUACAUACAUUUGUAGUAUAAAAUACAUGAACCAUAACAUCAUUAAAAGGUGCAAUUCAUAGAUUAUUUCAGCAUAUAAUUUUUGUUUUCUGAUUUCAACAGAGUAUAUUCCAAAAUUCAAGGUAAAACUUUUGCCAUCAGAUUUGCAUAGUUUAUAAAUUUGAGCUUUCUCCUCAGCAGGAGUCGAAACUGACGGAGGUCCGGGCCUUGUUGGCAUUUCAGGAACUCUUCCCAAAUGGUUAUCUUAAAGGGUGGUCCUUGGAACCCCAUAUAGCCUGGCAGCCUUUACCUUCGACAUCCCAUUACAUCUCAUAGUUGACUUCAACUUCCCCUCAUUUUGGGUGGCAAGUAUUGGACCCUCUUAUGAUUUUGAGAUGACAUCUAGAACAGGAGUAAUAUUCUUUCAUGACUGUAUUGAAACCUAUCAUCUUUAUGACUUUAAAGUUUAAAAUUUGUCUGAGGUAGAACUAAAUGUUUACUGUUGAACAUUAUAUGUAAAUGGAUAAUUGAAUAAAACAUUGAUAUACUA